AAAGAGAGAGAGAGAGAGAGAAGAGAAGAAGAAAAUAAAUUUGAAAGGUUUGCCUUCAUUUAGGUACUUUUGUGGUACCUUUCAUUCUGAGUUUUUACUGUUGUGGUCAUAAACAAAAUCAAUUUCUGAUGAUUUUUCUUCAAAGUUUUAAAUUUCUUUUUUAUUUAAUUACAGCUGUAAUUUUCAUUUUCUUUCACAUGAAUAGGAAAAAGAAAUUUUGAAAGAAAUUUUUGAAAUCUGGAAAGAAAGAAAAUUUGGAAAGAAAUAUGAGUACAGGAAAACAUCUAUUGUAUGUCUUCUUGUCAAUCAACAUUAAAACAAAUUAAUCCAUAGGCAUAUAGUUUGAAAAAUAUCAGAUUUGUUUUUUAAGUUUCCUGCAUGUGUUGGCCCCGAGGAAUGAAGUGCUAUAAGCAGUCAGAGCACACACUUUGCUAUCUAAAAGUCUUGACCCCAGGGGAAAAAAUGAUUCCUUGUCCCCUCUUGCCUCAGUGUGUGUGCAGUUGUGUGUGUGUUUUAAUACAGAGCCCGCUGUGACGGAUUUGUUUUCUUUCAUAUUCUCCCAACCGGCUGAAAAGUAGUCAGAUGAAUAAUCUGGCAUCAGUUUUCUGGUCCCGUCUGAAGGCUGGUAUUAGCAGUCGAGCUGAUGUAACUCUCUCCUCCGCUCCAGCUUCAAGCUCUCUUUGCGCCCUGCACCUGAGCACCAAGUCCUACUUGGUUGCCUAAAAUGAAAAAGCCUCUUUUGCGCAGAAAAAUUCCAUUUGUCAAAGAAAACACGUUUGCCUUGAUUCAGUUGUUACCUCAAGUUGGUGCUCUGGGUUCAACUGUCAUCAGUAACCUGACCUCUUGGUACUCCGGCACGUUUUAUUUCAACUCCAGAGAGGGCACCGUUUGUAAGAAAUUGGAAUCGGCUACUGGAACUCCUAUGAAAUACGAACCUCAAGGCAGUCCUAUAUGCCAGACGCUGUUCCAUCAACUUCAAGUUUCCAAUUGAGACAUUUAGAUGGAAACAAGGAAGUAAAUUUACAGAUCCUGAGAAACUGUGU
rnacentral:lncRNA from 1 species